rnacentral:rRNA from 1 species
AUUAGAUACCCUAUUAUUUUUAUUGUAAAGAAGAUUAAGCUGGAGUAUUAAUAGUUAUGAUCUUUAAACUUAAAGAAUUUGGCGGUAUUAUAGUCUAUUUAGAGGAAUCUGUUAAGUAAUUGAUAAUCCGCGUUGAACCUUACUUAUAUUAAUUCUUGUAUACCGCUGUUUAGAAAAUAUUAUUAGGUAAUUUUCUGAAUAUAAUAUUAAUUAAAAUUUCAAGUCAAGGUGCAGUAAUAUAUAAGUUGAAUAAUGGAUUACAAUAAAUUUUAUUUAUUUAUGAAUUGUUAUUGAAAUAUAAUUUUGAAGGUGGAUUUAAUUGUAAUUUUGUAAAGAUUGUUAAAAUGAUUAUAGCUCUAUAAUGUGUACACAUCGCCCG